rnacentral:rRNA from 1 species
UGGGGAAUCUUGCACAAUGGGCGAAAGCCUGAUGCAGCCAUGCCGCGUGAGUGAUGAAGGCCUUAGGGUUGUAAAGCUCUUUCACCCGUGAAGAUAAUGACGGUAGCGGGAGAAGAAGCCCCGGCUAACUCCGUGCCAGCAGCCGCGGUAAUACGGAGGGGGCUAGCGUUGUUCGGAAUUACUGGGCGUAAAGCGCGCGUAGGCGGUUUGACAAGUUGGAGGUGAAAUCCCAGGGCUCAACCCUGGAACUGCCUUCAAAACUGUCUGACUAGAGUCCGGAAGAGGGUGGUGGAAUUCCCAGUGUAGAGGUGAAAUUCGUAGAUAUUGGGAAGAACACCGGUGGCGAAGGCGGCCACCUGGUCCGGUACUGACGCUAAGGUGCGAAAGCGUGGGGAGCAAACAGGAUUAGAUACCCCCGUAGUCC